rnacentral:misc_RNA from 1 species
CGGGAAAAAGUGUUUGUGUGGCAGUCAAGAUGAUCCGGAGAGGAGGGGGCAGAGCGCCUCCCGUUAUUCUGAUAGGCCUGCUGGUUAUGUUGGUUAUUCUUGGCUUCAACUACUGGCUACUCUCUUCACAAAAUGCAGAUUUACAACAGGAACUGGAGAAACUGCAGGCCGAGGUCAAAAUCAGUGCAGUGAAACAAGAUCAAUCAGAGAAGAAGAAUGCAGCAUUGCAGGAGACUGUACAUGAGAUGGAUGAAAUUGCAGACAAAUUGAAGAAGAGAGUACAGGAGGAGGAGGAUGCCAUCAAGAAUAGAGACCAGGAUGGACAGAAGAAAGACUAUGAAAUUACCUCACUCAAGAACAAAAUUGUUGUUCUCCAAGAGCAGAUUAACACAGUGAAGCAGCAAGUAGAGGAGCAGGAGGUGGAGUUGGCCAAAGCAAAAGAGACCAACACUCGCCUUGUAACAGAGCGAGAUGCAGCGGUGGAGGCUGUGGGGGAGAAGGACACACAGAUCAACUCACUCAAGAUACAGCUGGAGCAGGAGAAAACGGUGAAGGGCACACUGCAGUACUCCAUUAGUGACCUGAAGAAGAAGGUGACGCAGACUUUUGGUGACCUAUCUGAGUGCCAAGACAAAGUGGCAGAGCUUGAAGGGAAGAAUAAGGGACACGAGGAACAGAACAAAAAGGCACAGGAAGAGUUGGCAGUCCACCAGAGGGAGCAGGCUGCUGCAGCUGUGCCUGAAGCUGUUCCUGGAGUCAUGAAUAUUCCUGGCAUAGAUAAAAAAGAGGCAUACUUUGGUCCAGGUCAGCUGGGAUAUGUUCCCCGGGCAGCUGUGAGGACACUGGACAAGGGCUUGCAGGGCAUCACCUUCCACAGGGGUCUCCCUAUUCUACCUAGGGAUCCCCCUGGUGCCCCACGUCCCAAGCCCAGAUUCAGUGUGGGUGCAGAGGGUCAAAAUGUUCCUGCAGGAGGCCAGGGAGUGGUUCCCCAGCCACCUGCUGCCGAGGUGAAAGCACCACCUGCACCAGAGCUACAAAAACCCCAGAUUCAGCCCGCAGUGGGCCAGUACCUCCAUCCCAUCGCUGGCCACCAGCAUUACCAGGCCCUUGCCAAACCCCGCUAUGUCCUGCCCCAGGAGAUGAGGUUCCUGCCCCACCCACGCCUGGACCCCAUUGCAGGUCCAGGUGUGGUAGAGCGGCCAGCAGCUCCCGUGGAUGCCAACAUUCAGCCCCUCGCUCCACAUGGCAAUGUGGUACACCUAGACCCUCACAAUGAAGUGCUUGACCCACCACCAGCCCAGGGUCAGGAGCAGAAGGUGGAUGAUUUGUCCCGCAGCAAGAGAGGUGAUAAUUUAGAAGGCAGAAAGAACACUGGAAAUGUAUUUGAGCCACAUAGAUCAGCUGCAGUGAUAGCAAAGCCAGCCUCACUGCAAGGUAAAGCUGCAUUGCCAGGACAAGAUGAAAUGGCAGUGGGCUUGCACCAUGGCCAGGCAGAAGCAGAGGACAAGAAUGAUGCCCAAGAGCAAUUGGAUGAACCACUGCAGCUCCAACAAAGCCAUGGUGAAGUGGAGGGUGAGGACCACAACAAUGCCCUAGAGCAGGAGGAGGAUGAGGGUGAGGACGUGGACCACCAACACCGCCUCCCCAGAGAGCCCUGAGGAGACCCACAGCGCUGCAAUUUAUCAUUCUCUCCACAUUUCUUGCCCACUGCUGUGUACAACCUUGAUGCAGCGGUUGAUGAUGAGAAUGCAGCAGCAGUAGUGAACGACUUGACAUAUGACCAAGAUGAAGAAGGGAAUGACGUGCGGCAGCGACAGCGACGGCAGGACAGAGAUGACGGGGGUGGAAGAGAAGG